GGAGCAGUGAGGUGUUGGACUCUUUCAGGAGGAUUGUCGGAGGGGCCUUGGCGUCUUGGAGAAGUGGGGCGGAAUAGAAACGCUUCAUUGGCUUUUUAAGCCAUGGCGUGGAGACAGCAAGAUUGCGGCAGCUGUGAGCACAGGAUUGUGACUCCGACUCCCAGGAGAGCUUGUUCAGCCCCCUCAUGGUGGCUGAGUCACCGACUGCUGUGGCACCCGAGGUCUGUGCCUCCUGCUCGAACCCGAGUAAGGAAAGCACCUGCUCACCCAUAAGCUGGCAAGGACGCUGGGCCCCCAGGGACUUCAGCAAAUUCUGGACAAUAGAGAGCAGGCUUGACAAGACCUCCCGUGCCAGGUCACCCUGGCUUCAGGGUUGCCAGAAGACUAAGCUGGACUCAGCCCAGCUUCUUGGUGCCGUCGCUUCUUCUUGCCGGGGCCUGGCAGUUCUGUUUCCGCAGCCUGCAUGGAGAAGAUGUUUGGGAGACCCCCGGAUGGGGUGCGUGUGCUGCUUCUGGGUUCUCUUCUCUGCCUCCUGCCCGAGUGCACUCCUCUGGCCCAGUGCUGCUGCCCCUGCCAGGCUGCAAUACUCCUUAUGCCUUCAGCUCCUUCUGACCUGUGGCUGAAGCCAUCCUUCCUGCACUCUCAUGGGCCCCGCUCCUGUGUGGGACUCAGACCCUGCAGCAGCCAACCAGAGCCAGCGGCUGCCACCCACUGCUCCCAGCACAUCCCAGCAAGCACCUGCUGGGCCUCGGACUUGGCUCUGGGCAAUGCCUCCCAAGUCCAGCUCUCCCAGGGUGUGGUCCCAGGGCUUGUGUCAGACGGAAGCACUGGGAGACGGGCGAGGACAGUACGCAGGGAAAGGCAGUUUAAAUUGGACAUCUGGCCUGAGGCUCACGUGAUGUGGGUGGCCAAGGGCUGUGGUGGGGAACAAUGUGCAAAGACCCCAAGGCAGGAGCCCAUUUGGCAGGCGUGGCUGAAGCAGUGGCGGUGCAGCUGUGAGCCCGUGGCUGGUCACAGGCA